rnacentral:rRNA from 1 species
CCCGCACAAGCGGUGGAGCAUGUGGUUUAAUUCGAUGCAACGCGAAAACCUUUACCUGGGCUUGAACUGUAGUCGCAAACUCAUGAAAGUGAGUCCUCCUUCGGGACGGCUAUAGAGGUGCUGCAUGGCUGUCGUCAGCCCGUGCCGUGAGGUGUUGGGUUAAGUCCCGCAACGAGCGCAACCCCUGUCCUUAGUUGCCAUCAGGUUAUGCUGGGAACUCUAAGGGGACUGCCCCAGACAAUGGGGAGGAAGGUGGGACGACGUCAAGUCAUCAUGGCCCUUACGUCCAGGGCUACACACGUGCUACAAUGGUCGGUACAACGGGAAGCAAUACCGCGAGGUGGAGCAAAUCCUGAAAACCGGCCUCAGUUCAGAUUGCAGUCUGCAACUCGACUGCAUGAAGUUGGAGUUGCUAGUAAUCGCAGAUCAGAAUGCUGCGGUGAAUGCGUUCCCGGGUCUU